rnacentral:rRNA from 1 species
UACGUAGGGUGCAAGCGUUGUCCGGAAUUAUUGGGCGUAAAGAGCUCGUAGGCGGUUUUGUUGCGUCGGCUGUGAAAAUCCCGAGGCUCAACCUCGGGUCUGCAGUCGAUACGAGCAAACUAGAGUGUUGCAGGGGAGACUGGAAUUCCUGGUGUAGCGGUGAAAUGCGCAGAUAUCAGGAGGAACACCGGUGGCGAAGGCGGGUCUCUGGGCCGAUACUGACGCUGAGGAGCGAAAGCGUGGGGAGCAAACAGG